UACUUGGAUAACCGUGGUAAUUCUAGAGCUAAUACAUGCUAAAAAUCCCGACUGUUUGGAAGGGAUGUAUUUAUUAGAUAAAAAAUCAAUGCUCUUUGAGCUCUUUGAUGAUUCAUAAUAACUUUUCGAAUCGCAUGGCCUUGUGCUGGCGAUGGUUCAUUCAAAUUUCUGCCCUAUCAACUUUCGAUGGUAGGAUAGUGGCCUACCAUGGUUUCAACGGGUAACGGGGAAUAAGGGUUCGAUUCCGGAGAGGGAGCCUGAGAAACGGCUACCACAUCCAAGGAAGGCAGCAGGCGCGCAAAUUACCCAAUCCCGACACGGGGAGGUAGUGACAAUACAUAACGAUACAGGGCCCUUUCGGGUCUUGUAAUUGGAAUGAGUACAAUGUAAAUACCUUAACGAGGAACAAUUGGAGG
rnacentral:rRNA from 1 species